UACAGAGGGGGCAAGCGUUGUUCGGAAUUACUGGGCGUAAAGGGCGCGUAGGCGGCCUGUUAAGUCGAACGUGAAAUCCCCGGGCUCAACCCGGGAACUGCGUCCGAUAUUGGCAGGCUUGAAUCCGGGAGAGGGAUGCGGAAUUCCAGGUGUAGCGGUGAAAUGCGUAGAUAUCUGGAGGAACACCGGUGGCGAAGGCGGCAUCCUGGACCGGCAUUGACGCUGAGGUGCGAAAGCGUGGGGAGCAAACAGG
rnacentral:rRNA from 1 species